AACCGAUGUGAGAGCCAAUUUUCUUUUGUCACAUAAACCCAUCGUUUCCAAACCCAUUUUCUUGUAAACGACCUUCAAACCCUUUUUCUCUCGCCAUCACCAAACUGCUUUCGCCAUUUUCUCUGGCCGUCACCUCCGUCCAAGCUCUUCAACCCAACCUUCAAAGCACUAUUUUCACUUGUCCAAAUCAUCCCUAUGAACUCUCACAUAUCCCCUAAGACCUUAUCACCAAAACCCGUUUCCAAACAACCCCUGCUUCGCAUCCGUCGCCGCCUUUUGAUUCUUCAAACAUCGUCCGUCUCCCUCGCUGAUGUCGACAGUGAUGCUUCAUCAAUGUCUUCGAUGUUUGAGCGGUGUUUUGCAGCGUUGUCUUCUCCUUCUAUUUCGUGUAAUGUUAAUCCGGUUAUGAAAGGAGGGAAGUACGAUGCGUUCGGGGGUGUUACGCUUGAGUAAUCGCAAGUUGAGUUGUCGCAACAGCAGAUGAAUAAGUCCUCCCCUGAGAAGAUACUUUGGCGCCAUUAGGUCGUUGGCUCAGUUCCGCCUCACCGGUGCUCAGAAGGAUUUCAUCGUCAUGGGUUCAGAUUCCGCAUGAGUAUGGUGAUACCACAAAUGAGUGUAUCUCAACAGGACCACAUUUUAAUCCCAACAAGUUGGCACAUGGUGCUCCUGAAGAUGAAAUCCGUCAUGUGGAUGACCUGGGAAACAUAGUUGCUAAUGCUG